CAAUUUCCAUUAAUUCUCUCAGUAACUUCUUUCCUUAAUUACCUCCUCUUUUAUUUUCCUUUUCAUAUACCAUUUUUAUCUACUAUUUUCACAUAGCAUGAUUUUUCAACAACAACCAACGUAAUAUCAACACAUAGCAUGGAUAGGGACAAAUUCACACAAAUCCUAACCCCACAAACAUGGAUUAUUUUCCCCCAAUGCUACAACUAUCUAAGAACUCACCUAGUAGAAGAAGAUGAAGUUGGUGAUGAUGAAGAUAAGAUGGUGGUGUUGAUGAACAUGAUCUUCUUCCUUCCUCUUCUUCCUCUUUCUCUUUUCUUCUUUCUUUCUCCUUCUCUUUUCCUCUUUCUUUCUCUUUUUCUCCUCUUCCCUUUCUUUCUUUUCUUUCCUUUCUUUUCUUCUUUCUGAUAUAUCUUCUUUCCUCUUACCUACCACCUCUCUUCUUAUCCACUUCUUCUUUUUCCUUUUCCACCACACCUACCAUAUAAUAUAUAUAAUGUAUAAUAUUAAGUAGUAACCAAAAUAUCCCAAUUGAUAUUUUAUCUUCCAGCACCAAUUGACCAAUUAUUAAUGUUACCAAAAAUGUCAUUUCUUGUAAUUAUUAAUAUUGGUCUGUCUCUUUAUUCAUAAUUAAUCCCUUCAGAGUUCACUGGUUACUCUAUUGGUCCCAAUUGACAACAUUUAGAGCACAAAGGAGCUCUAAUCGUUACAAAUGAUAAUAGAUAAUUUACAUAGGAAUUCAAUUGAUCUCAACUGACAACUAAUUGAGCAUUUAAGGGAAUAUGGGAUAU
rnacentral:lncRNA from 1 species